rnacentral:rRNA from 1 species
UACGGAGGGUGCAAGCGUUGUCCGGAUUUAUUGGGCUUAAAGGGUGCGUAGGUGGCCUUAUAAGUCAGUGGUGAAAGCCUGCAGCUUAACUGUAGGACUGCCAUUGAUACUGUAGGGCUUGAGUACUGAUGAGGUAGGCGGAAUUGAUAGUGUAGCGGUGAAAUGCAUAGAUAUUAUCAAGAACACCGAUUGCGAAGGCAGCUUACUAAGGAGUUACUGACACUGAGGCACGAAAGCGUGGGGAUCAAACAGG